rnacentral:lncRNA from 1 species
AGUUUUUCCCUUACAUCUACCGGGUGUGGGAACUCACCCAGCGCAUCCGACUGCACAAUGAAAAAAAGUAGUUUUCCUUUACAAUGAGGCUUGGCCCCCAGGGCGAUGGUGCCACAAGCCAGAUCACUGGGACCACUCAGAGAAAGGGAACACAGAAGCCUGGCAUGCCAGCAAAAAGCAGGGUUUUUGUGAGCAGUGUCUUGCACCAAACUCCUGUCUCCUCCUGUGACUUAGAAUGCCUAACUUCCUGGGAAUGCAGCACAGGUCUCAGCCUCAUUUUGCCCAGCCCCUAUUCAAGACGGAUUUGCUGUGGUUCAAAUGCUUCUGACAAUAUUCCUCAUGGUGAAUGCUGGAUUUUGCAUGCCCGAGGCCCUGGGCCACACUGUAUGUUUGCUUUUUGCAAGGGCUGUAUGGCUAUGACUAGUUAUGUGGACCCUGCAUUCCUAUGUAAAUGACCCUCCAUAAAAACCCCAGAAAUGAAUGCUUGAGUGAACUUCCCUGGCUUGUAUUAUAAUACUGUGAACAUCUUGUCACACAUCUUUGCUGGGGGAAUUAAGUGUGUCCCUAUGUGACCGUAAUGGGAGAUAACACCCAGAGUUUUGUGCCUGCUUUCAUGUGGACUUCAUUCUAUGUGAUUUUUCCCUUUGGUGAUCCUGGUCUAUAUCCUUUUAUUGUAAUAAACUAUAACCAUAACAGCUU